GAUGAACGCUAGCGAUAGGCUUAACACAUGCAAGUCGAGGGGCAGCAUAAUUUUAGCUUGCUAAGAUUGAUGGCGACCGGCGGAUGGGUGAGUAACGCGUAUGCAACCUACCGAUAAAUAAGGGAUAACCCGGCGAAAGUCGGACUAAUACCGUAUAGUCUUAUAAUUUCGCAUGAGCAUAUAAGUAAAGAUUUAUCGUUUAUCGAUGGGCAUGCGUUCCAUUAGUUAGUUGGUGAGGUAACGGCUCACCAAGACGACGGUGGAUAGGGGAAUUGAGAGGUUGGCCCCCCACACUGGUACUGAGACACGGACCAGACUCCUACGGGAGGCAGCAGUGAGGAAUAUUGGUCAAUGGGCGAGAGCCUGAACCAGCCAAGUCGCGUGAAGGAAGACGGUCCUAUGGAUUGUAAACUUCUUUUGCAGGGGAAUAAAGUUAUCCACGUGCUGGAUAUUUGUAUGUACCCUGAGAAAAAGCAUCGGCUAACUCCGUGCCAGCAGCCGCGGUAAUACGGAGGAUGCGAGCGUUAUCCGGAAUUAUUGGGUUUAAAGGGUGCGUAGGUUGCGAUAUAAGUCAGCGGUGAAAAUUUGGGGCUUAACCCUGAACUUGCCGUUGAAACUGUAUUGCUUGAGUGUAAACGGGGUAUGCGGAAUGCGUGGUGUAGCGGUGAAAUGCAUAGAUAUCACGCAGAGCUCCGAUAGCGAAGGCAGCAUACCGGGCUACAACUGACACUGAAGCACGAAAGCGUGGGGAUCAAACAGGAUUAGAUACCCUGGGUAGUCCACGCCGUAAACGAUGAUUACUCGGAGUGUGCGAUAUUACAGUACGCUCCCAAGCGAAAGCGAUAAGUAAUCCACCUGGGGAGUACGUCGGCAACGAUGAAACUCAAAGGAAUUGACGGGGGCCCGCACAAGCGGAGGAACAUGUGGUUUAAUUCGAUGAUACGCGAGGAACCUUACCCGGGAUUGAAAUGCAUACGCAGGGACUAGAAAUAGUCCUGUCCUUUCACGAGGCGUAUGUGUAGGUGCUGCAUGGUUGUCGUCAGCUCGUGCCGUGAGGUGUCGGCUUAAGUGCCAUAACGAGCGCAACCCUAACUGAUAGUUGCUAACAGGUUAAGCUGAGGACUCUAUUGGGACUGCCGGCGUAAGCCGUGAGGAAGGUUGGGAUGACGUCAAAUCAGCACGGCCCUUACAUCCGGGGCGACACACGUGUUACAAUGGGGGGGACAAAGGGCAGCUACUUGGCGACAAGGUGCGAAUCUCAAAACCUCUUCUCAGUUCGGAUCGGAGUCUGCAACUCGACUCUGUGAAGCCGGAUUCGCUAGUAAUCGCGCAUCAGCCACGGCGCGGUGAAUACGUUCCCGGGCCU
rnacentral:rRNA from 1 species